rnacentral:rRNA from 1 species
UACGUAGGGUGCGAGCGUUGUCCGGAAUUAUUGGGCGUAAAGAGCUCGUAGGCGGUCUGUCGCGUCGGUCGUGAAAACUUGGGGCUUAACCCUGAGCUUGCGGUCGAUACGGGCAUGACUGGAGUUCGGCAGGGGAGACUGGAAUUCCUGGUGUAGCGGUGAAAUGCGUAGAUAUCAGGAGGAAUACCGGUGGCGAAAGCGACUCUCUGGACGGCAACUGACGCUGAGGCACGAAAGCGUAGGGAGCAAACAGG